ACAGUGUUGUCACAGCGGUUAUCCGGCAAGCAGGAGCCGAUUGACUCAACCUGCCUCUGUUUGUGGCGGGCGCGCGCCACGUAUCCUUCAAACCGAACACGGGAAAAAGCACCGCUCACAUCAACACGCUGAACAUAAGGCGGUUAUGACCGCAUGAAAUAAAUUGGCCCUUGCACAACAGCAAACCCUGGGAACUCCAAGGACAACCACAGGAAUCAAUGAAAAAAGAUGACUCAAGUCAUACUCACCCAGGAAAGAGUGGCUUCAGACCAAAACCAACAGUCUUCUGACAGGAGGGGAUUCUCCAGAGUUUCCUUAGAGGACCACCAUGGCUCUACAAUGCAUGGCUCUGUCUGUUCAUAUUCCACUCCCCUGUAAAAAUACUCUCCUCAGGAAUUCAGAGUAUAUAUACUGUGAGUCGAGGCACCUGAGAUGGGGAUAGAGCAUGUGUGUACUGUCUACUCUCUGAAUACCUGACUGUCUAGGGAAUAUUUAUACUCCUAUCAGAUUCCAAAUAAUAACCUGGAGACUAGAUUAGAUGUUAUUAGUGUUUGGAUUUGUAUAUUCUUAAUAUGUUGCCAGCCUGGUGUCAUAGACUAGACGAAACAUUAAAUCCGAGAAACUCAAAAUUAGUAUGAUAUGCUACGUUUGGUAUGAUUACAUAAGACAGAAAGUUACUUAAUAAAAAAAAAUGAAAGUAGGGUAGUUGGUUGCGGUGGAUGGAUAGGCAUAUAACGUGAAGUUUAGUAACCCAAAGGUUGCACAUUCAAAUCUCAUCGUGAGCAACUUUACAACUACUUCCCAUUUUUUUAGCUACUUUGCAAACACUUAGCAUGUUGGCUAACCCUUCUCCAAACCCUGACCCUAACCAUAACCAUCUAAACUAACCCUAACCUUAACCGCUAACCCCUAGCCUAGCUAAUGUAAGCCACCUAACUAACAUUAGCGUUAGCCACCUAGCCUCCGAGCUAACGUAAGCAACAACAAGUUGGAAUUCGUAACUUAUCAUACAUUUUGCAAAUUCAUAACCUAUUGUAUGAAUUGCAUUUUGUAACAUAUCUUACAAAUUGUAAUGCGUAACAUAUUAUACGAAAUUGAUGAUGUACAGUCGUGGCCAAAAGUUUUGAGAAUGACACAAAUAUUAAUUUCCACAAAGUUUGCUGCUUCAGUGUCUAUAGAUAUUUUUGUCAGAUGUUACUAUGGAAUACUGAGGUAUAAUUACAAGCAUUUCAUAAGUGUCAAAGGCUUUUAUUGACAAUUACAUGAAGUUGAUGCAAAGAGUCAAUAUUUGCAGUGUUGACCCUUCGUUUUCAAGACCUCUGCAAUCGGCCCUGGCAUGCUGUCAAUUAACUUCUGGGCCACAUCCUGACUGAUGGCAGCCCAUUCUUGCAUAAUCAAUGUUUGGAGUUUGUCAGAAUUUGUGGGUGACCACAAGUCCUCAAUGGGAUUAAGGUCUGGGGAGUUUCUUGGCCAUGGACCCAAAAUAUCGAUGUGUUGUUCCCCGAGCCACUUAGUUAUCACUUUUGCCUUAUGGCAAGGUGCUCCAUCAUGCUGGAAAAGGCAUUGUUCGUCACCAAACUGUUCUUGAAUGGUUGGGAGAAGUUGAUCUCUGAGGAUGUGUUGGUACCAUUCUUUGUUCAUGGCUGUGUUCUUAGGCAAAAUUGUGAGUGAGCACACUCCCUUGGCUGAGAAGCAAACCCACACAUGAAUGGUCUCAGGAUGCUUUACUGUUGGCAUGACACAGGACUGAUGGUAGCGCUCACAUUGUCUUCUCCGGACAAGCUUUUUUCCGGAUGCCCCAAACAAUCGGAAAGGGGAUUCAUCAGAGAAAAUAACUUUACCCCAGUCCUCAGCAGUCCAAUCCCUGUACCUUUUGCAGAAUAUCAGUCUGUCCCUGAUGUUUUUCCUGGAGAUAAGUGGCUUCUUUGCUGCCCUUCUUGACACCAGGCCAUCCUCCAAAAGUCUUUGCCUCACUGUGCAUGCAGAUGCACUCAUACCUGCCUGCUGCAAAUUCCUGAGCAAGCUCUGUACUGGUGGUGCCCAGAUCCUGCAGCUGAAUCAACAUUAGGAUAUGGUCCUGGUGCUUGCUGGACUUUCUUGGGUGCCCUGAAGCAUUCUUCACAACAAUUGAACCGCUCUCCUUGAAGUUCUUGAUGAGCCGGUUGAUUUAGGUGCAAUCUUAUUGGCAGCAAAAUCCUUGCCUGUGAAGCCCUUUUUGUGCAAAGCAAUGAUGACGGGAUGUGUUUCCUUGCAGGUAACCAUGAUUAACAGAGGAAGAACAAUGAUUCCAAGCACCACCCUCCUUUUGAAGCUUCCAGUCUGUUAUUCAAACUCAAUCAGCAUGACAGAGUGAUCUCCAGCCUUGUCCUCGUCAACACUCACACCUGUGUUAACGAGAUAAUCCCUGACAUGAUGUCAGCUGGUCCUUUUGUGGCAGGGCUGAAAUGCAGUGGAAAUGUUUUUUUGGGGGGAUUCAGUUAAUUUGCAUGGCAAAGAGGCCCUUUGUAUUUAAUUUCAAUUCAUCUGAUUACUAUUCAUAACAUUCUGGAGUAUAUGCAAAUUGCCAUCAUACAAACUGAGGCAGCAGACUUUGUGAAAAUUAAUAUUUGUGUCAUUCUCUAACCUCUUGGCCACGACUGUACAUCCAGAAAUGAAUACAUACCAUACAAAUUGUAACAUAUCAUACUAAUUGAAGUGUCUCGUUCACUAUGUUACGUUUACCCCUGAGUCCAGGUUGAUGCUGCAUAGUGAUUAAGUAUAAUAGCUAUAUUUUUGGGAAGAUCUUUUUGGAGAAACUAUCAGUUCAAAUGGAAUCACCACUAAAUAAACACAAGCUCAUGGACCAAGCUAUUAGACUAGAUGUACAUGAAAUCCUUGUGUUUAUUUAACAUGACACACAUGUAAUUUAACCAAACAUUGAAUGCCUUUGUUAUCACAACCGCUUUAAAUGUGAUUUACAGUGAUUUGUUUGCAACAGUACGAUUUAUGUUUCCUUUACUACUGUCCCCAAGUCAUCAGCUACACAGGUCACCGUGGGGGCACUGUGACCACAGCAAACAUGAUAGUGCUGCUUGUUCAUGUUGACGGGUUUACGUCAGUAUGAACUGUAGGGCUGAGACCUCGAUUGCAUCUCCACCGGGAGGGAAAUUGCCUAGUACAUUCGUAUAAUGCCUUUCAUGCCCCCACGCACACGCACACACACACACACACAACACACACACCUCCUCCUCUGUGUUUCAUUUUUCACACUGCUAUCGCUCUGGGCCAUCAGUCCGAUGGUUAAGCUGUCACAGGGCAUGUUUGCCAUGGAGCCCCGACUGCAACGAUGUGAUUUAUACCCUCAAAGCAAUCAGCGAAUCUGUGAGACGUAAUGGUGUUAUUAGACCCACACUGGAAUGUAGUCUGACUUGGACUGGGGUGUUCAGGCAGCCUCCAUUGCCAGCCAGCCAACCAGCCGGCCUGCAGACAGCAUCAGGGAAAAAAUUAUCAAAGCACCCUUUGAAGGCCUGAGUCAUUACACACACAGACAGAGGCAGAGGGGGAAAAUAAACAACCUGAGAAGGACAGAUGGACAUUUCCCCCUGUCGAGCCUGGAGGUUGUAACUUCUUGAAACAUUGUAGGGAGAGGAGGGGGAAACAACUCUGCUUGGUGUUGGUCUUGACAUGAAGCCAGAGAGCUUUUUAUAGUGUGGCUUUCUCAUGAUCAACAUGGCCAAUAACAUUUGUGAAAACAGUGUGUCAUUCGGAGGGGUUGUGUGUGUGUGUGUGUGUGUGCGCGGGCAGGUGGGUGUGGGUGUAUGCCUGUUAGAUGGUUUUUACUACCGACAGGGACCAGUGUCCAAGCAUAUGAGCCCUGAGCUCAUGAGCUCAUGUCCUGUUACACAGCCAAUCACAAAAUAGAUAUAAAAAUACAGUUAGGAUUCUAAAAAUGAACCAAAGUGAUCAAAUUUACAAAAUUGCAGCGAUGACUAAUGUCUGUGUACAAAGUGAACCUGUUUCUGACCAUCUGUCUGAUCUUGAGUAGGGAAAAGAAAACAAAGUCACCCAAUAUGCAUUUAUAUGAAUUAUUAAUGCUUUUGCGUUCAAAGUCAAAGGCAUCAAUACCAGCCAUUACAAAGCUGAGCUGGAAUACAGUACAGAAACAAUCAACAAUUUCAACAUAGUUCACUGUUUUCCACAUCUUCAGUGUGUUGUCUUGUAGACAGUGAUGAGACCUUUCUGAAUAAAGUUUUUUGACUAUUACAAA